UACGUAGGCAGCAAGCGUUGUUCGGAAUUACUGGGCGUAAAGAGUGUGUAGGUGGUGCUCUAAGUUUGGUGUGAAAUCUCCCGGCUCAACCGGGAGGGUGCAUCGAAAACUGGAAUGCUAGAGGAUGGGAGAGGUAAGCGGAAUUCCUGGUGUAGCGGUGAAAUGCGUAGAUAUCAGGAGGAACACCUGUGGUGUAGGCAGCUUACUGGACCAUUUCUGACACUGAGACACGAAAGCGUGGGUAGCAAACAGG
rnacentral:rRNA from 1 species